GGCGGUGUAGCUCAGUUGGUCAGAGCACACGGUUCAUACCCGUGGCGUCACUGGUUCGAAUCCAGUCACCGCUACCA
rnacentral:tRNA from 3 species